ensembl:lncRNA
AGUAAAAGUUUGACCUAAUAAUACUACAGUAAAAAUAAAAACUUAAAUUAUAUUAAUUUGAUUGUAUAUAAACAGUAGUAAACUGUUAUUUUUAUUAGUAUUUUUGUAAUUAUUUUUGAUUCUAUUUUUAUAAAUACUUUUAUAAGAACUUUUGUUAAUACUUUUUUUUUUUUCUUUGCUUCCUAAGCAUAUACGAACAGUCACAUAUAUAUAUACACACUAAGUAAAACGACACCAUAGAAAACAGAAAACAAAAUAAAAGACCCAGUUUGACGGUACUAUUAGAAGGAGAAUACUUAACUAGGCAAAAAGAAAAUGAAAUAAAAUUAUUUGAAAACAUAAAAAGUGAUAUUAGUAUUAUAAUUAGUGAACAAUUGAAAAAAAGAUCUAAGACUGAGUUUGAAUUGACAGCUAUGGAAAAAAAAUUUAAUUAUUUAAAAAAUAUAACAGCAGAGUUAGAAACUUUAAUAAAACAAGAAAAAUGUGAAUUAAAGAAUGAAAGUGAAUUAAUUAAAAAUUAUUUUGAAUAUACUACGAUAAAUUUAGAAUAUAUUUUCAUAAAAUAUGAAAGUAUCAUAUCUGAUUUAAGUAAUAGAAAAGAUAAUAUGAAAUUAACACUAAAAGAAAUAAAUACAAACGAAUUGUUAGAAUUUAAACAGUGCUAUGACAAAAUAACAGAUGAAUGUAAUAAAUUACAUAUAAUGAAAACAAAUAUAAUAGAUAUAAAAAAUAAGAUAUGUGAAUUAAAUAAUGAAUAUGAAAUAGUUAUAAAUAAUAUUGAAAUAAAAAAAAAUGAGUCUGUUGACAUAAAACAAAAUUAUGAAAUUUUAUUAUCGAAUAUAGAUGAGUAUAAAAAAGAGUUUGAUGAAAUAAAGACAAAAUGUAAUUUUCAAAUGAAUGAAAAAAAACAAAGUUCUAUUAAUUUAAAUAUAAUAGAAGAACAGAUAGUUAGUUUAAAAAACGAAAUAGAUAUUUUAUGUGUAGAUAAAAAAAAAGUUGCUGAUGAUUUGAAUGCACUCAAAGAAAAUAACAACACUGUUUUACAAAAAUUAUUUGAUUGUAAUGAUGAGUUACAAAAAAAAUGUGAACAACUUGCAUUAAAUUUAAGUGACUCAGAAAAUGAACUAUUACAAAUACAAAAUAAAAAAGAAGAGUUAAAAGCAUGUUUAGAUGAAUUAGAAUCGAAACUAAAUAAUAUUAACGAAACAUGUACUAGUAAAAAACAAGAAGAUGAAGAGAUUUUAGCUACUGUAAAAAGUUUAAGUAAUGAGCUAAUAACAAAUAGAAAUAUAUUAAUAGAAAUAGAAAAAGAAUAUUCUCAUUUUGAACAACAAUUUAAAAUAUUAAAAAGUUCUAAUGAUCAAAGUAUAAACGAUUAUACGGAAAUGGAAACCGAAAUUAAUGAAAUAAAUAAAUUAAUUGGUAAGUAUAAAAAUAACAUCGAAGUAAAAAAAAAGGAAAUAACAGAAAUAGAAGAAAUGAAAAGACAAAAUGAUAAAACAAAAGUUGAACUAUUAAAUUCAAUUGAGGAUUCAGAAAAAGUAUUAGUGGAUAAAAAAAAUUUAUUUUUUAAGGUUUCUAAAUUAUUAAAUUUUAUUUCUAUGUCGAAUGAUGAUUACUUACAAUUAAAAAAAGAAGGAAACGAAGAAGAAACAAAUAAAGUGUUACUAAAAUGCAAAGAAUUAGAAGAAAAAUUUACGAAGUUAUCAAAUGAACUAGAAAUGAAAGAAAAAAAAAAUGAUAAACUAAAAACAGAUGUUGACAGUUGUAAUAAUAAAAUACAAAAACAACA